UCUGUAAUCAGUUUCAUUUUUGCUCUUUUCUAGAUGAUUUCUUUUAGUCCAAGCUCCUACCAGUUCCACCAGUGUCCAAACUCUUAAACUCUAUUGCUUGGAGUCGUCUCGUAUUACAGUACCAUUUUUAACUCCCCCAAACCCAACUCUCUCCUCCAUCUUCGCUCCAUCUACUUUCUUUAUCUGCCACAACACCAUCUCCUUACCUGUCCUUUUUCCCUUUUUUCUCGCCCCAGUUGGUCUUGAAUUUUCUCUCUAGAAGUCCUACACCCUUAAUAGGAGACGUUGGUUCCUCAGUAGGGGUCUUGGCACCUUUUAUUGGAGAUACAGGUUGCUCUGUUGGGGACUUGUCGCCAAUCUUCAGGUUGCUUUCACUCCUAGAGAAGAACCUGAGUAUCCUUCUUCUCAAGCUUUUCUUCUUUGUGGUGGGCGAACUUACGGUGGGAGAUGACCCCUCUGUCUCCCCUGAGGACAUUGCGAGGUGGGACAGCGCUGGACCCCCUGGAACCUCAGCGUUGUAGUCUCUUGCACACAGGGGGUGGGGAGAGGUGGGGCUGGUAGAAACGUGGAGGGGUGAAGCGCCUCAGGUCUGAAGGGGGAGUGAAGAAGCAGGAUGAAAACGCUUACCUGUCACCUGAGGCUGUGACUGUCACAUGGGACGCCAAUGGUUCGCAAACAGGUGUGAGAGGCUGAAACCGGAGCUGAGGAAUGGACACCCUUACACUGCCAGAGCUGGAUAAAUCUCGCCAGUACUAUGGGCCACGUCCUAACUCUUGAAAGUUUUCCCUUCAGAACAAAGGGGUGUUCCCUGCUUUUAAGUGUGUGAAGAUGAUGCCUACAUUAUAAUAGGACCCACACAAAUAUAUCAUUUAAAAAUGGUAUAAAUUAUUUACUGAAAUAAAAUGCUGCAGCAAAA